rnacentral:rRNA from 1 species
CCCUUAGAUGUCUGGGGCCGCACGCGCGCCACAAUGGAUGAAUCAACGCGUCAUCCUGGCCCGAAAGGGUUGGGGAACCGCUGAACCUCAUCCGUGGUUGGGAUUGGGGUUUGUAAUUAUUCCCCAUGAACUAGGAAUUCCCAGUAAGCGCGAGUCAUAAGCUCGCGUUGAUUACGUCCCUGCCCUUUGUACACACCGCCCGUCGCUACUACCGAUUGGAUGGUUUAGUGAGAUCCUCGGAUUGGUCACGGCACGGUGGCAACACUGCGUCGGUGUGCCGAGAAGACGAUCAAACUUGAUCAUCUAGAGGAAGUAAAAGUCGUAACA